rnacentral:rRNA from 1 species
UACGUAGGGUGCAAGCGUUAUCCGGAAUUAUUGGGCGUAAAGAGCUCGUAGGCGGUUUGUCGCGUCUGCUGUGAAAACCCGAGGCUUAACCCCGGGCCUGCAGUGGGUACGGGCAGACUAGAGUGCGGUAGGGGAGACUGGAAUUCCUGGUGUAGCGGUGAAAUGCGCAGAUAUCAGGAGGAACACCGGUGGCGAAGGCGGCCAUCUGGCUCGGUACUGACGCUCAGGCGCGAAAGCGUGGGGAGCAAACAGG